AUGACCAUCCUUAAGUGGUUUAAAGAAGUGAAGUUUUCUGAUGGGUUUGCUGCUAAUUUGAGUAAAACUGUCAACUUGAGUAAAAACAAAUUCAUUGGGCUGAAAAGCCAUGACCACCACAUCAUCAUGGAGCGCCUCCUGCCAGUUGCCCUACGAGGCUUCAUCCCAGAACCUGAAUGGAAGGUCAUAGCAGAGUUAAGUUUUUUUUAUCGGCAAUUGUGUGCCAAAGAAAUUGCUCCAAAACGGAUGCCUGAACUUGAGGAGGAGGUUCCUGUUCUAUUAUGCAAGCUUGAGAAAAUGUUCCCACCAGGCUUCUUCAAUGUAAUGCAACACCUGAUAGUGCAUCUUCCAUAUGAGGCAAGGGUUGGCGGCCCUGUGGCAUAUCGUUGGAUGUAUGUUUUUGAGAGGGCAAUGCACUAUCUUCGUUUAAAAGUGUGA
rnacentral:rRNA from 1 species